AUUGAACGCUGGCGGCAUGCCUUACACAUGCAAGUCGAACGGUAACAGGUCUUCGGAUGCUGACAAGUGGCGAACGGGUGAGUAAUACAUCGGAACGUGCCUAGUAGUGGGGGAUAACUACUCGAAAGAGUGGCUAAUACCGCAUGAGAUCUACGGAUGAAAGCAGGGGAUCGCAAGACCUUGUGCUACUAGAGCGGCCGAUGGCAGAUUAGGUAGUUGGUGGGAUAAAAGCUUACCAAGCCGACGAUCUGUAGCUGGUCUGAGAGGACGAUCAGUCACACUGGGACUGAGACACGGCCCAGACUCCUACGGGAGGCAGCAGUGGGGAAUUUUGGACAAUGGGCGCAAGCCUGAUCCAGCAAUGCCGCGUGCAGGAUGAAGGCCUUCGGGUUGUAAACUGCUUUUGUACGGAACGAAAAGCCCCGGGUUAAUACCCUGGGGUCAUGACGGUACCGUAAGAAUAAGCACCGGCUAACUACGUGCCAGCCGCCGCAGUAA
rnacentral:rRNA from 1 species